GAUGAACGCUGGCGGCGUGCCUAAUACAUGCAAGUAGAACGCUGAAGCUUGGUGCUUGCACCGAGCGGAUGAGUUGCGAACGGGUGAGUAACGCGUAGGUAACCUGCCUGGUAGCGGGGGAUAACUAUUGGAAACGAUAGCUAAUACCGCAUGACAACAGUUAUUGCAUGAUAACUGUUUAAAAGGGGCAACUGCUCCACUACCAGAUGGACCUGCGUUGUAUUAGCUAGUUGGUGGGGUAACGGCUCACCAAGGCGACGAUACAUAGCCGACCUGAGAGGGUGAUCGGCCACACUGGGACUGAGACACGGCCCAGACUCCUACGGGAGGCAGCAGUAGGGAAUCUUCGGCAAUGGACGGAAGUCUGACCGAGCAACGCCGCGUGAGUGAAGAAGGUUUUCGGAUCGUAAAGCUCUGUUGUAAGAGAAGAACGAGUGUGAGAGUGGAAAGUUUACACUGUGACGGUAUCUUACCAGAAAGGGACGG
rnacentral:rRNA from 1 species